rnacentral:misc_RNA from 1 species
AUGCUUCCAGCCUCUGUGCGCGGGGGGGGAACCUCCCGCGCGCACGCCUGCAUCCUCGAUAUUACCGUACCUAGACGUCCUCCUUCGGCGGGUCCCGCCCGCCGUCGGAAGCCAAAACACGCACCUGCAUCUAUACAGUAUUACCCGUUCCGAAACAAAACAAUCGUUACAACUUUCAACAAUGGAUCUCUUGGCUCCGGCAUCGAUGAAGAACGCAGCGAAAUGCGAUAAGUAGUGUGAAUUGCAGAAUUCAGUGAAUCAUCGAAUCUUUGAACGCACAUUGCGCCCCUCGGUAUUCCGGGGGGCAUGCCUGUUCGAGCGUCAUCUACACCCUCAAGCUCUGCUUGGUGUUGGGCGUCUGUCCCGCCUCCGCGCGCGGACUCGCCCCAAAUGCAUUGGCAGCGGUCCCCGACCCCCCUCUCUCGCGCAGCACGAUUGCGCUCCUCGAGGCGGCGGUCGCGGGCCCGCGUCCACCAAGCCGAACCCCCCCGUCUUUGACCUCGGAUCAGGUAGGGAUACCCGCUGAACUUAAGCAUAUCA